rnacentral:rRNA from 1 species
CAGUAGCCGCGGUAAUACGUAGGGUGCAAGCGUUGUCCGGAAUUAUUGGGCGUAAAGAGCGUGUAGGCGGCUCGACAAGUCCGCUGUGAAAGUCCAGGGCUCAACCCUGGAAUGCCGGUGGAUACUGUCGAGCUAGAGUCCGGAAGGGGCGAGUGGAACUCCUGGUGUAGCGGUGAAAUGCGCAGAUAUCAGGAAGAACACCAAUGGCGAAGGCAGCUCGCUGGGACGUGACUGACGCUGAGACGCGAAAGCGUGGGGAGCGAACAGGAUUAGAUACCCCAGUAGUCCCUGUCUCUUAUAC